UACGGGGAGGCAGCAGUGGGGAAUAUUGCACAAUGGGGGAAACCCUGAUGCAGCCAUGCCGCGUGUGUGAAGAAGGCCUUCGGGUUGUAAAGCACUUUCAGUAGGGAGGAAGGUAGUGUAGUUAACACCUGCAUUAUUUGACGUUACCUACAGAAGAAGCACCGGCUAACUCCGUGCCAGCAGCCGCGGUAAUACGGGAGGGUGCGAGCGUUAAUCGGAAUUACUGGGCGUAAAGCGCAUGCAGGCGGCCUGUUAAGUCAGAUGUGAAAGCCCGGGGCUUAACCUCGGAAUUGCAUUUGAAACUGGCAGGCUAGAGUCUUGUAGAGGGGGGUAGGAAUUUCAGGUGUAGCGGUGAAAUGCGUAGAGAUCUGAAGGAAUACCAGUGGCGAAGGCGGCCCCCUGGACAAAGACUGACGCUCAGAUGCGAAAGCGUGGGGAGCAAACAGGAUUAGAUACCCUGGUAG
rnacentral:rRNA from 1 species